rnacentral:rRNA from 1 species
AUGGUUCCCCCGGAGCCUCGGGAACCAGAAGCAGAAGAUAAGAAGAAGGAAAGAGUCGCAGCCAGUGCUCCUUUCACGUGGAUUACAUCAAACUUUGGUACUUGCCCUGAGGCUACUAAUGAGGACACGGUCAAGACAUAUGCUCGUGUCUACAUGUGGUACGUGAUAUCCAGGACUAUGUUUGUUGAUGGCACAUGCAAUAAUGCUCCAUGGAUGUGGCUGAAGGUGUUGACCGUCUUCGAUAGCAAAUGGAGUUGGGGUUCGGCGACACUGGCUUACUUGUAUAGAUAG